GACGAACGCUGGCGGCGUGCCUAAUACAUGCAAGUUGAGCGCUGAAGGUUGGUACUUGUACCAAUUUGAAGAGCAGCGAACGGGUGAGUAACGCGUGGGGAAUCUGCCUUUGAGCGGGGGACAACCUUUGGAAACGAAUGCUAAUACCGCAUAACAACUUUAAACAUAAGUUUUAAGUUUGAAAGAUGCAAUUGCAUCACUCAAAGAUGAUCCCGCGUUGUAUUAGCUAGUUGGUGAGGUAAAGGCUCACCAAGGCGAUGAUACAUAGCCGACCUGAGAGGGUGAUCGGCCACAUUGGGACUGAGACACGGCCCAAACGCCUACGGGAGGCAGCAGUAGGGAAACGUCGGCAAUGGACGAAAGUCUGACCGAGCAACGCCGCGGGAGGGAAGAAGGUUUUCGGAUCGUAAAACUCGGUUGGUAGAGAAGAACGUUGGUGAGAGUGGAAAGCUCAUCAAGUGACGGUAACUACCCAGAAAGGGACGGCUAACUACGUG
rnacentral:rRNA from 1 species